GGCCCGCGCCCCAAGUUGGCGCUGCGGACGUCUUUGGAAUGGGCCCGGAGGGAGCGUGGGCCGGCCUCCGCCCCGCCGUGUAAGGUGCAGAGACCCGCCGUCGAAGGGGAAGCUUGGGCGCGUCUCCCCCAGCGCGCCUCUCCCCUCUCUGGGUGGAGUGCCCCGAGCUGUGCCCUCCCCCGGGGCUGCCUCCCGGCCUGCCCUGCCUUGGGCAGCGAGGCCCCUUCAGGUGUCGGGCCGAGAGGGGUCCCGCUGGGAACCCUCAGACCCGUUAAGGAGGAGCUUGGUUUUCAGGCGCUGCGAAGUCAGUGGGGGUUGACUCGGUGGCUCUUCGGCGUUUCCAAGAACACCCAGCUACCAAGCGGGAACAGCCCAGAGAAACUGCAGGGUAGUUCGCAAAAAAAUAUUUUGGGAGAACAUAUCUCGAGAGUUUUCCUAGAGACUGUUUCAUAAUCUCUCAAAUGAGAGAGUUGUAUGCCUCUCGUACCCUGAAUCGUCUUCCUUCGGACAGGGAUUGAGAACCGGAAAUACCACCCCCCUGCAGCCAAACUUGUGAGGCCUGAUUGCAGGACUGGUGCUCCAGAUGUUAGAGGCGCUGCAAGUGUGAGCAGGUGGCAGUGGGCAUGCAUUACAGAUUGUAGCAGAUAUCCUCAACACUUCUAUUGAAACUUCCUUAUCUCCACUUGUAAGAGGAACCCCAAGGCCUCAUCCCUGUGGUAGCUGCCGCUGCCAUGAUCUGAUAUAAGCUAUGGUUCACCAGGGAACUUUGGCAAGAGAAUUGGCUAGAUCAGCAAUUCCGUCUCCACCAUGGGAAAACAACUUGAAGCUCAUCUCGGUUAUGAGCAUAAACAAAGCCCAAGGUUUCAGACUGGUAGGACUGACUUUCACUGAAGUCAAAUGAAAGGCCCAACUGUAAGGAGAGGAUCAGUAUACUAUA